rnacentral:lncRNA from 10 species
GUCAGGGUAGAGCAGGUAAUCAAAAAAGGUUGCUUUACAAUAAAGUUAAGUUUAAAAAUCAAAGGCAAAGAAUUGAAUAUACUGACACUGAUUCUUUGAAAAGAAAUUUAGAACUGAUAUCUAACAUUGGCAAAACAUGAAAAGGAGAAACGGGGCGGGGGAAGAAGAAAAUGAGGAGAUUAUGAUAUUCCAGAAUUCCAAGCCAUGGAGUCAUUGAUGAGUAAGUAGUGUCAGUAGCGGCUACAUGGUUUCAAGAUUAACCUUUGGCUGAGCAAUGAGGAGUCAUUGCCAAUGUUGUCAAAGUGGUUGCAGAGAAAGAGUGGCCGGAAGACGAAGCAGAGCAGGUGUGCGAGAGAAUGGCAAAUGGUGUGAUGGAUUUCCUGGACACCCUGAUGUGAACUGAAACACCACAGACAAGACAGUUCAGACCUGCCGUGCAAGAAAGGUUAAAGUAAUUCUUCAGAGAAAAGGAAACUGAUACUGAUCAGAAACUCAGCCCUACAUGAAGAAAGAACUUUCAAGAAGGAAUAAAUGAAGUUUCAGAUUUGAAUGGUCGAAGAGAAGGGGAGAAUAUUGGUAGAUAGAAGAGAAGUGGGACGAACCUGCUUGACCCCAUUCGGAUCUCCCAGCAUCUAAGCUGCCAGCAUCCAAAGCUUCCUCAAAGGAGCUUCCUGUCUUCUUUUCCUAAUGAAUUCAUCAGGAUGUGGACUAAGGUAAAAACCAAAACUGCCUUUGAAAGAAGAUGGUUCUUGAACAAACUCUUACCUUAACACCCUUCUUUCUACUGGAGUUGGUGAGUUGAGAAGUGCUUUCCUGGGACUGGCAAACAGCUGAGGAUGGGGAGAUGCCUGCAGGAUCUGGAGUGAAACCUGAUGACUGAGUGAAGCUUAUCAAGAUGCUCAACAACCCUGUGAUUUCCUGUACAGAGGGUGCUGGAAAAUAAGAGUAUGACACAGGAAACCACAUGAGAUGUUUCUCAGCAUUUGCCCUGACUCCAAUCACUUAUCUUGGUUUCUCCCCUACCCUCUCCGGCCCCACUCCCUGCAAGGAAUCACCGUCCUGAAGUCUUUCAUUGCCCACAAUGAGCAUCCAGGAAGCAGACCAAUCAAGCGACGUGAGCUUUCAUAGCUAAAGAAUAGUCUGCCCUCUUCUGCUUGGCAUUCAAGGCCCUGGCUUACUUGACCUUUCAAAAUCAGGUUUAUUUCAAAUGACACUAAGGUGUAUAAAAUGAAAUGCAAAGUCUCUCGAAGUCUCAUUCCCCAAAAGCAACCACUGCAUACAGUUUCCAUUCUUUUUUUUAAAAAAGCUUUGCGUAAUAAAACAACAUUUCUAUUUUUGAUUUAUCGAUGUUAACAACUAGAUAUAUUGAGUCUCCUUAUAAAAUAUAGGGGACUUAGCACAUCACAUGCACCAUCUGUCACGUUUCUCCCUCUACAUCAUGAUAUUUAUUAGCUAGAUUAUUUUUAGAUCAUCUAGAGCCAACCAAUAUUUUCAGCCUUAUCUCCUAUGACUUCCUUUCAUGUGCCUAUGCUGCAGCCAAAUUGAGUUAUAAGUAACAAUUAUGAAGCAUUUAAGACAAUCAGAAGAAAUUAUUCACUCAUUUAUUCAUUCAUUCAACACUGUUUAUUGUUUGCCUAUGAUAUGUCAGGUACCGUUCCAGGCAAUGAAGACACAAUGAUGAACACCA